rnacentral:rRNA from 1 species
CCCGCUGAACUUAAGCAUAUCAAUAAGCGGAGGAAAAGAAACUAACAAGGAUUCCCCUAGUAACUGCGAGUGAAGCGGGAAGAGCUCAAAUUUGAAAUCUGGCGUGCCUCUGGUCGUCCAAAUUGUAGUCUGAAGAAGCGUUGUGUGUGUUGGGCUGUGUAUAAGUCUCGUGGAACAGGGCGUCAUAUAGGGUGAGAAUCCAGUCUCUUAUACGGUCUGCCAAUGCUUUGUGAUGCGCUCUCAUAGAGUCGCGUUGUUUGGGAAUGCAGCGCUAAAUGGGUGGUAAAUUCCAUCUAAGGCUAAAUAUUGGCGAGAGACCGAUAGCGUACAGGUCCCGUGAGGGAAAGAUGAAAAGAACAUUGAAAAGAGAGUUAAACAGUACGUGAAAUUGUUGAAAGGGAAGCGCUUGAAGUCAGUUGUGUCUCCUAGGGAUCAAGUUGCCUUUUGGUGACCGCACUUCCUAGUCGGAUGGGUCAGCAUCUAUUUUGAUCGUUGGAUAGAGGCCCAGGGAAUGUGGCAUCCUCAUGAUGUGUUAUACACCUGGCUCGUAUACAAUGGUUGGGAUUGAGGAACUCAGUGUGCCUUCAUGGUUGCGGCUUCGGCUCACACUUGCACGCUUAGGAUGCUGGCAUAAUGGCUUUAAUCGACCCGUCUUGAAACACGG